GAGAAGUGGAUCAAACUCGGGGAGUUUCCAAUAGACUUUUGGUGACUUGUGCCGAUCUGUUCAGAGUUUUAGAGGGUGUUAUGCAUGCGUGAGAUCGAAGUGCAGUGAAGUGAGAUGGAGGAUGAAAGUCGCACUGAUCGAAAGAUUUAGAGCAGCGGCUGCACCUUGCCCGAUCCCACAACACGACGAGCACUGUGGCCCCCUGCUCACACUCCAUCUGCAGGAAGACGGCGGUGAUGAGUAGCAGGGAGGCGGUCAGAGAGGCCACUGCAGCCGCGAUAAUCAGGCCCCGCUGUCGGCGAGAGUCGCCCCGCAUCAGGUAUCGCAAACGGUGCCAGAAGACCCUCCUCCGUGGACAGAGGCGGCCGUAGCGACGGCGGCAGCUGCAGCACAAAGAACAGCGCGGGAAGUCAGGUCAGGCCCGGCUCGACCCAGCUGGGUGCCCCUCCCUCCCUUCACUGUCCUCCCUUGGUUCGAAUAGCCAUCCCUUUCCCUCCCCCUCUUACUUGGGUCGGGUUGAGUGGAGCGGUCGUAAGGAUGACAUGACCUAUAGGUAGCCUGGCGCCCCCUCUACCCUAAACUACCCUGACCCGAGCAGCCUCUCCCUCUCUCCUGUCUCUC